rnacentral:rRNA from 1 species
GACAGAGGUGCCAAGCGUUAGGCGGAAUCACUGGGCUUAAAGCGUGUGUAGGCGGGUCGUUAAGUACCUUGUGAAAUCCCACGGCUCAACCGUGGAACUGCUCGGUAUACUGGCGAUCUUGGGCCACUUAGGGGCUAGCGGAACAAACGGUGGAGCGGUGAAAUGCGUAGAUAUCGCUUGGAACGCCGAAGGUGAAAACAGGCUGCUGGGGUUGUGCCGACGCUGAGACACGAAAGCCAGGGGAGCAAACGGG